AAAGUCUAACCUGCCCAAUGAGGAGUUAAAUGGCCGCAAUAUUUUGAUUGUGCAAAGGUAGCAUAAUAAUUAGUUUUUUAAUUGAGAACUGGUAUGAAUGGUUGGACGAGAAAAAAACUGUCUCAAUUUAAUUUUAAUUAGAAUUUUAUUUUUAAGUUAAAAAGCUUAAAUGAUUUUAAAAGACGAGAAGACCCUAUAGAGUUUUAUAUAAUUUUUAUAUUUAAUAUUUUAAGUAUUUUUAUUUAUUAAUUUUAAAAAUUAUAUUUGGUUGGGGUGAUUGGAAAAUUUAAUUAACUUUUUUUUUAUAUACAUCAUUUAUUUAUGAAUAAUUGAUCCA
rnacentral:rRNA from 2 species